UUAACAAAACAGGAGUUUUCAUUUACAGAUUUAUAUUUCCAGAGUACAAAAUGUUCAAUGCAAACUUUAAAAAGAGGCAGUGUGACAUUGACACUAUUACUGAGGAUGAAGCCAACAGAGUUUGUUCCAUUGAUCUGGAUAGAGUAGGUUGACAUUGGCAGCAGGUUUGUCACUAAUCCUACCCCAAGUGUAAUAUAAUAUUUGGUGCCAGCCAUCAGUCCAGUCAAGACAUAACGCUGAAUAAAGACAGAACUAUUGUAGACCACAUCACCAAGACUAUCUUCUGCAGUGGAUGCAUACAAUAAGCUUAAGACUAAACCGAUCCAGAUAUUUACCUGCAGUCAAGCUGACAUCUAGUAUGUCCAUGGAGACAAAUGAAGUGCUGUUGACCAUAUAGGCCAUGAUCACAUACUUGGCUGGACUGACAAGUAAUCUCCACAUCAUGAUAUGGUGGACAGCCAUCCAGAUCAAAAAGAGAAGUCCAGUAUGUAGUGUGGUUCUCAUUCUAAAACGAACUUCAAUUUUGUCACCACUAAUGUCACAGAUUCCUUUGUCAUCACAGUUGGCAAUCACCAGAUAUCCUGUUCUCUCAACAAAAUAGUAAAAAUGUGUUAGUGUUUGAAGAAUCAAAUCAACAAUUCAGAAAUAAAUUAACUAUUUAGAAAUGUGACCCAAAAUCCAGGCUAACUGAAAAUCCAAUUUGUUUAACACUUGUAUUAACAUUAAACCUUAUGACACAGUAAAUUCAUGACAGAAUUAGCUAGGUUAACAAAUAAAAACAUCCAACAUAGCUACUCCCUAUGACAAGGUUGUAAGUCAAAGAAAAAACCUUUUCCCAUGAAAUGAAAUCCUUGCUGAAGAUUGAUGGGACAACCCUGCCAGUUCAGAAAUGCCAAAUCAUUUGUUUUUCCUUGAGUCCAGUCCAGUUUGGUCCAAAUUUCUUCUGGAAAUUUCUGGGUUAAAAUCUCAACAUUAUCUAUGCAGCCUUGAAACGGUGUUGUUUCUAUCUAGAAGGAAGACUAGGAGUUAGAGAUGGAUAUUGAUAAAACAAAAUUGUGGUCUAAGCAAAAUUAAUAAAUUACAGUCUAAGAGAAAUUAAUAAAUUGUGGUCUAAGUGAAAUUGAUAAAUUGUGCUCUAAGUGAAAUUAAUAAAUCUUUUAUAAUUGUAUAAAGUGAUUUUUUUUAAAUUCAUUUUAAAAUCAAAUCAUCUUCAAAAAGCUCAAAUAGCAUUCUAAACAGCCAUGGCAUAAAACAAAUUUUUACUUGAAUAGAAUAAGUUGCAUUUUAUAUUAGAAGAAAAUAUAACUAGAAUUAUUAACUUUUCGUGUUUUGUCUGUACGUCGCAGUAUAAACUCAGCAGGAAAGCCUCCGACAUAUACACCAGUGGUUGGUCCUAUCACACUAGUAUCUGUGCACAAAGCAUCUCUGAUGUUGCUUGAACCUAGAGAUUUUUAUGAGAUGAAACAAAAGACUAUGCAGAAAGUUUUUGUAGCAAACUCAUUACCCCCCAAGUUUAUCAUUAAAAAAAUUAUUUAAAGUAUCUUCAUUGCCAUGAUUAUUUUAUAGAAUAUGAAAGACCAGUUGAUAUGUAAACUAAAUAUUUAAAGUAUCAUCAUCUGUACUUUAUAAAAUAUGAAGAUGAACUGAAAUGGGGUCUUUAUACCUUUUAGUAAAGUGGGAAAUGCAGCUAUGUUUAAUUCUGGUAUUAGGAAUGAUAUUUCAUAAAAUCCAAACAUAUAACAUGAGAAGAAAUGAAAAAUAAAAUGAAACAAGAAAAAAGUAGAAAAAAAAAAGAGAACAUUGUAAAGUUGAUCGAAUGAAGCACAGUUUAGAGAAUAGUGAACAAGAGACAAAAGAAAGUCACUAAUAUAUGCACUUAAUAUUUAAGAAUACAUAAUAAUAUUGUGUUGUAGUUACACACAAACUAAAAAAUGCAUCAGAAGAUUAAAUACAAAGUAAAAUCAAGAAUUCACUUUUAAUUAAAAAUUGUUGUAUGCUAAAUGUUUACUUAACUCUAAAGAGAAUAAAAUAGUUUUUUUUCCACAAUUUGUAAAUAAAUAAGAAUAGAUUUGUUCACAGUCAAAGUGAUCUAGUCAGUCCUAUAUUCUUUUUAUAUUCUUUCUCAAUUUGCUCUGAAUAAAUUCAGGUCAAAUAAUUAUUAAAUUUGAGUCUAACAAGUUCUAUUUUACAGCAUGAAGAGGAGGUUGAAAUAAACAAACAUGUAACUGAUUGAUCAUCACUUGCAUUGCUCUGUGAUGCAUACUUAUUAAAGAUUGUUUAAGGAUGAAGAAAAUAUAUUAUUGAAGUUUCAAAGCAGAAGACAACAUCUAUAUGUUAAAAAGUGGAAUGGAGAAAUAAGGGAUGAAACAAAAGUUUCUUUUAAAGCUAAAAGAAAGAGAGUAGAUAUACAUGCAAAGACUGAAACAUCAUGAUGAACAACCUCUAAAAUAACCAUCAAUUAAUAGGCUGCCAUUAUUGCCUUCUCGCCAAAUGAGCAUGGUGUGAAACCCACUAUUGAUCAGAUUUGGCCAGUUGGGAUAAGCAUCGUAAUUGACCUCAGCCAGUGCAGUGCAAUGCCCUGUAGUUCAGACCUACCUUGUGUAUCAAACAUAAACCUUGGCCUACCAUUCACAAACUGCACAACUAUGAACUCCUCUUGAGUACUGGUGGCGCUAAACAGCAGAAUGCCUGUCCCUCUCUCCAGUCUAAACUUCAAGCGAAU